UACGUAGGGUGCAAGCGUUAAUCGGAAUUACUGGGCGUAAAGCGUGCGCAGGCGGCCUUGCAAGACAGAUGUGAAAUCCCCGGGCUCAACCUGGGAACUGCAUUUGUGACUGCAAGGCUAGAGUACGGCAGAGGGGGAUGGAAUUCCGCGUGUAGCAGUGAAAUGCGUAGAUAUGCGGAGGAACACCGAUGGCGAAGGCAAUCCCCUGGGCCUGUACUGACGCUCAUGCACGAAAGCGUGGGGAGCAAACAGG
rnacentral:rRNA from 1 species